UCUAAAGUAGGAGAAGUAUAAGGAGACGAAUAUAUAGAUGCAGAAUCUGAUGAAUUUAGGGUUUGGAAACGAGCAUGCUUGGGAAAUCGUGUAGGGGAAGGAGUGCGAGAAGAAACAGGACUAGCACGAAGCAUAAAAUCGGCACUUAAAGCUUUGAAGUUAGGAAGGAUUACAUUAGAUUGUCGGAGUCUACGGACUAUUAUUGAAACGUCUU